AUUGAACGCUAGCGGGAUGCUUUACACAUGCAAGUCGAACGGCAGCGCGGACUUCGGCCUGGCGGCGAGUGGCGAACGGGUGAGUAAUGUAUCGGAACGUGCCCAGUAGCGGGGGAUAACUACGCGAAAGCGUAGCUAAUACCGCAUACGCCCUACGGGGGAAAGCAGGGGAUCGUAAGACCUUGCACUAUUGGAGCGGCCGAUAUCGGAUUAGCUAGUUGGUGAGGUAACGGCUCACCAAGGCGACGAUCCGUAGCUGGUUUGAGAGGACGACCAGCCACACUGGGACUGAGACACGGCCCAGACUCCUACGGGAGGCAGCAGUGGGGAAUUUUGGACAAUGGGGGCAACCCUGAUCCAGCCAUCCCGCGUGUGCGAUGAAGGCCUUCGGGUUGUAAAGCACUUUUGGCAGGAAAGAAACGUCGCGGGCUAAUACCCCGUGGAACUGACGGUACCUGCAGAAUAAGCACCGGCUAACUACGUG
rnacentral:rRNA from 1 species